GCAGCUCCACGUCGACAUUCUUCCAGCUGUGUGCGCGACGCGGAAAGACACGGCGGCUGUGAGGCGCCUGAGCGAACACUCGGUCCGGGAGAAGGGGAAAAAUAUUACCAAAAAAGAGAGAAAAGAAUCACCGAAUAAAAACCUCUGCGGUAGAGAUAUAGUCAAGUCUUGCCAUAUCUGAAAAUGGUGCUUUCCCUUUUUGUUUUGCGUUUUAUGCGUUUAACCUCGUGCAUAAAAGUGCUGAGUUGCAGCUGUGAACUCCAGCAGUGGGCUUAUGCAUAGCUCCAAAUAGACACGUCAGCUGUUUUACCUAUCCCCCGCUAUGACUGUUCACUUCACAACCUUGGAGCAAGUGGGAAGACGAGAAGUCCUAUAGGAGGAGAGGAUUAGCCAGCUCUUCUGUGGCUUUCCAAGUAAAGUUCUGUGAUACACUCUGGCUCUAAUUGUUUGCAGUCAGUGCAUUACAGAACUUUGUUUUGGGAGUUUAAUGCUGUGGCCUUGUGGAAAAAAAUAUUACAUCUGGAAGGGAGGAAUAACAACCACACAAGCCCCCUGAUGGCGCUUGGCUCUGUCUCUUCGUCGAUUACCAUACACAACUGAAGCUGUCUCACUUAAUUGUUAUUAUUUGUAACAUAUGCGUUGUAAUAUUAACCUACAAUAAAGCACAACAAUUUUUUUAA